rnacentral:rRNA from 1 species
GAUGAACGCUGGCGGCGUGCCUAAUACAUGCAAGUCGAGCGAACAGACGGGGAGCUUGCUCCUCUGACGUUAGCGGCGGGCGGGUGAGUAAAACGUGGAUAAAAUACCUAUGAGACCGGGCUUACAUCGGGGAACAAGAGCUAAUACCGGAUAAUAUUUUGAAACGCAUGGGUCACUAGUGAAAGACGGUUUUGCGGUCGAUGAUAGAUGGAGCCGGGCCGGAUUGGGUAGUUGGUCAGGGAAUGGCUUACUACGGCAAGGAUGCGGAUCCGCCCUGAGAGGGUGUGGGGGCACACUGUAACUGAGACACGGUCCAGACACCUACGCGAGGCGGCAGUGUGGAGUCUUCCGCAAUGGGCGAAGACUUGACGGAGCAAGGCCGCGUGAGUGAGGAAGGUCUUCUCAUCUUAAAACUCUGUUAUGAGGGAAGAGCAAAUGUUUAAGGAACUAUGCACUUCUUGACGGUACCUAAUCAGAAAGCCACGGCUAACUACGUG